rnacentral:ribozyme from 2 species
UGUGUAAUGCUACUAUGAUAGCACAUUGCGAAUCAUACGGGUUGCAAGUCCCUCAAGCAGAGCACACG